AUGACGACCGCCACUGCCAUCGUCGCCGGCCACGGCAUCGCCUUCCGCCGGAGCCUCCACCUGCCCAACCCGCCGGGGAAGCCCUCCUUCUCCGUCGCGCGGCCCCACGCGCACUACCGCCUCUUAGUCCCGGCCACGCCGUCGCCGAGGCCCUGCCGGUCCAUCUCCUCGCAGAGCCCCACGGCCGCCGCGGCGGACACCGCGGAGGACGAGGAGGAGCCAGCCGAGGAGAGUGAGGGGAGUGAGGAGGAGUUGGACCCGCUGGCGGAGGUGUGCUACCUGGACCCGGACGCGGACGCGGAGGGGAUCCGGGAGUGGGAGGUGGACUUCUGCUCGCGGCCCAUCCUGGACGCCAGGGGCAAGAAGGUGUGGGAGCUGGUGGUGUGCGACGCGACGCUGUCGCUCCAGUUCACCCGUUUCUUCCCCAACACGUCCAUCAACAGCGUGACGCUCCGGGACGCGCUCGCCUCCGUGGCCUCCUCCCUCGGCGUGCCGCUCCCGGACCGCGCCCGCUUCUUCCGGUCGCAGAUGCAGACCAUCAUCUCCCGCGCCUGCAACGACCUCGGGGUCAAGGCCGUGCCCAGCCGCCGCUGCGUCUCCCUGCUGCUCUGGCUGGAGGAGCGCUACGAGACCGUCUACAGCCGCCACCCCGGCUUCCAGAAGGGCACCAAGCCGCUGCUCACGCUCGACAACCCCUUCGCCACCAACCUGCCGGACAACCUCUUCGGCGACAAGUGGGCAUUCGUGCAGCUCCCCUUCGACGAUGUGAGGGAGGAGGUGGAGUUGCUGGAGAGGAGGUACGCGUUCGGGGCGGGGCUCGAUUUGGACCUCUUGGGGUUCGAGCUCGACGAAACCACACUAGUCCCUGGGGUUGCCGUGGAAUCUUCGCGCGCCAAGCCUCUGGCCGCUUGGAUGAAUGGGUUAGAGAUCUGUUCAAUGGAGGUUGACACCGGCAGAGCGAACCUAAUCCUGUCAGCCGGGGUUUCUACCAGAUACGUCUACGCCGGCUACCAGAAGAGCGCCGCUACAACGCAGGAGGCAGAAGCGUGGGAGGCGGCGAAGAAGACCUGUGGCGGCCUGCACUUCCUGGCCAUCCAAGAGAACCUCAACUCCGAUAGUUGCGUGGGUUUCUGGCUCCUGCUGGACCUGCCGCCACCGCCUGUAUGA
rnacentral:rRNA from 1 species